rnacentral:rRNA from 1 species
GACGAACCGCCCGAACGUUAUUCGGAAUCACUGGGCUUAAAGGGCGCGUAGGCGGGCCUGAAAGUCAGGGGUGAAAUCCCACGGCUCAACCGUGGAAGUGCCUCUGAUACUUCAGGCCUCGAGGGAGGUAGGGCGUGCGGAACUUCCGGUGGAGCGGUGAAAUGCGUAGAUAUCGGAAGGAACGUCGGUGGCGAAAGCGGCGCGCUGGACCUCUUCUGACGCUGAGGCGCGAAAGCCAGGGGAGCGAACGGG